UAGGUUGGGGUGGGGUCUGGUGCUGGACCGCUGAUCCAGUUGCCCAUCUCUUGAAGGGGGCAUGGUCUCUGCUCUUUCCAGGGAUGUCUGCAGAGUUUCCUUGGGGCUGGCUGCCUCUGGGAUACCCCUCAUUGCACUACACUGCUCUUUGCUGCUAGGGAACAUCUGGUUUGCAGCCACAGUGGCCUGGCUGCCUACCUCAUAGUAAGUUUUCAGUAGAUGUCUGGGACCAUGAAUGAUGAAAGCAGGAGCUAAAGACACUAAACCAGGCCUGCACUCUUCCUUCUCCUGUUUCUUGCUCCUGUUCUCUUCCUAGUGUGAGGGGCUGUGGGUAGGAAGAAUGCUUCUGCCUUGCCAGCUUGGUUUGAUCCAGGAGGAAGAGCUGUCUCUUUUGGCCUCUACCUUUGCAUGGUACCACUAGACUUUUAAGAUUGCACUGAGCCCUUGCAGGCUGUCACAGCUGUCGUACUUCAGUAAGGCACGGUCCCCACACUGUACUGCAGCCCCUGGUCACAACACAGCGUGGCUGACCCCGGGGGUAGAAGUCGGUGAUUGUCGUUCAGCCGGACACGGGAAGCAUAAACUCCCCUUGUUCUGGCUAGCGGUCGGAGGAAGGAUAACUGUGUUCAGAACAAAGAGGGUUUUAAAGCAACCUGGUGGAAACAAAGUGGUUUCCCCACCCUUUGGCGCACAGUGAGCAAGGGCUGCUGUGUGAUGACUUGAAUUCAGGUUCUUGCUGUCCUUGGCUAACUCCAGAGCUGAACUACCAGGCAGAAGAGCGAGCAGAGUUUGCAAAUCUUGAGCUGACCUGGCUCAGACCAGUGCUGGCCAAAUUCCCAUUGAAUCUUGAGUUGAUGCUGCCGUCUUGGGAAUCAAAACCCAGAGCGGCUUAACACAUGCCUCUGGUCCUGGCAGCCCCAGGAGAUUUGGGGCUGUGUCCAGAACCAGCCAAGACCUCUGAGCUGUAGGUCUAGUGCAAUAAUGGUGAUUAUAUUGGUGAAGGUGCAAUGGCUAGUGUAGCAUUAGGUUGGGGCUGGGGGGAAAUGAAGUAAUGUUACUGUUGGGUAGUUAGCUGGAUGCAGUUUCACAAGCUUCUGCCCCUCUUUUUGGGCCCAGAAAACGGGGUCCUACGUAUUUGGUGCACAGGGCAUUAUGAGGGGACGUGGCUUGUACUGUAUGAAGAGGCCACUUGUGAUUUUGCUUUUUUAAUUUGUUCUUCAUCCUCCUGCAGCCAGGAGCAGCUUUUAGGAAGCCGUGCUGGGAAGCAACUCUUGCCUGAGUCCCUCUGACCCCUGUCUCCUACUUAGUGAUGCAGAAACACUGGUGGGCACAGGGGUGGGGGGUGUUGGGGG